GUGGGGAAUAUUGGGCAAUGGGCGAAAGCCUGACCCAGCAACGCCGCGUGAAGGAAGAAGGUCUUCGGAUCGUAAACUUCUAUCUUUGGUGAAGAUAAUGACGGUAGCCGAGAAGGAAGCCCCGGCUAACUACGUGCCAGCAGCCGCGGUAAUACGUAGGGGGCAAGCGUUGUCCGGAAUGAUUGGGCGUAAAGGGCGCGUAGGCGGCCUGGUAAGUCUGGAGUGAAAGUCCUGCUUUUAAGGUGGGAAUUGCUUUGGAUACUGUCGGGCUUGAGUGCAGGAGAGGUAAGUGGAAUUCCCGGUGUAGCGGUGAAAUGCGUAGAGAUCGGGAGGAACACCAGUGGCGAAGGCGACUUACUGGACUGUAACUGACGCUGAGGCGCGAAAGUGUGGGGAGCAAACAGGAUUAGAAACCCGGGUAGUCC
rnacentral:rRNA from 1 species